UACCCUCCCCUUGUGCAGUGAUUGGGUGAGUCUGGAGGGUGUGGUUUAGAAAGGAUUCCUCUCUAAAACAGUCAACUCUCUCUUCACCAAUCUCCUGGAACUGGCCAAAACUCUCUGCACUAGCCCUGCUAACACACUCGCUUUCUACCAACUCGUAUUUCUCCUGACACUGGAAUUCUCAUAUCAAAGGCUCUCAGAUAUACUGGUCUUCCUACACCAGCUGCAAGAGCUUGCUGUGAAGGAGAAAGGUCUUGAGGCACAUCACAGAGUGGUGCUACAUGCUACAGUGGCAGGUGUGCUGUAUCUAGCGCCCAAGAUUAGUCGAAACGAGGUACUCAAGACGCACAUCGAUGGAGUGAUUGCUAAGAGGAAGGAGACAGCUCCGAAGGCUAUUGUGGGACAUUCUUCUAGAAGGGUGAGUGUGUGUGUAUGGGGGGGGGGCAGUCUUCUAAAGGGUGAGCAGUGUGUCAUACAGGGGGGAAGGGGGAUAUUCCCCCUAGCUCCAAUUCCCCCCCCCCCUAAAAUUUGCAUGUAGGUACUAGUUGGGGUCCAUAGCUGGCAAUUUUACAUACUAACAGCAAGAGUUCGUCUAUUAUGAACUCUCUUGCUAACAGUUUGACCCUUUACCAGUAAAUUUGGUAAUGAUCAUCACAUAUAUUUGCUCUCAAUACUAAUUACAAUGUUGUUUGCAUGAGAGUAGAUCUUUACCAAAUGCAUUAUUUUGUUUUCCUUUUACCUUCUAGAAGCAGGGGCGUAGGGAGGGGCAGGGCUUUGGGGGCUGGAGCCCCCCCUUCCUCUGCAAAAGCCACACUAAGAGCCCCACCUUCUCUGAUGACUGUCUUUAGCCUGGGAAUUACUGGUAUAGAUUAGUGGCAGACAAACAGCAUGUCCAAGAGCUAGCUAUACUAUACUAGUAACUUUAAUUCUUCAGUGUAACUAAGCUAGCUAGCUAGAUCUAGCUUCUUAUUUAGCAUGCAUGCAGUUAAUAUUUAAUUGAAGCAGGUGUGGCUAUAAACUAUUUCUUGCACAUGCGCAAUGCACUGUGCAACUGAUCAAUAAUCUACCACAGAGGUUGAUUUGAGAGCAGCAACUAUGUCACAGAAACUGGACCACUAUUUCUCAAGGCCAAGAUCUAGUACCAACUUGCCAAGCUCUAGUGCCAGCUUGCCAAGCUCUAGUACUGCCAGCCUGAGUACUGAUGAAGAGCCAGCAAAGUAACUGAUCAGCUACAUUAUCAUAAUAUAAUUAUAUUAUGUAAAUAAUUAUUAGCAAUGUUUUCAUGCAUAUUAAUCAUUAUUACAAGUACAAAAAAAUUGUAACAUCAUAAAAAUUAAUUAGCAAGUACAACAAAAUUAAUAUUCCCGGAAAUUAGUCAUUAAUUAGGAGGUGUGGUUUCCGGUCGCCGAAAAUUUUCGGAGACUUCGCGCCAGAAACCAGCUUUUCAGCUCAGCCCCCCCUUCCUCAAAAUCCUGCCUACGCCCCUGAGAAGUGCAGUCAUCUAGACAUGGAGGAGAAGCUGCUCAAGAGAUAUCAAAUCAUGGACCCGGGUGUCAUGGCUGAGCUGGAGUGAAAAUUGGAACUAUGCAGAUUUUGUGUGUGUUAUGUCACUGUGAUCGACCCACCCCAUGCUGGAGGUUGAUGUGAGUUGAGACUGAGAAUGAUGCCCUGUCAGUAAUGAACCCGAACACUCACUCUCAUGCCUUCAACAAGUUUAGGGGGGAAUUUUGGGAAAUCUGAGUGCUCCCACCCCUCUUCAUGAAACCCUGAUUGUAACCACAGACACUUGAGAUACAAUGUGCUAGCCCUUGUAAAGGUACUUGAUAAUUCAUUGCAAACAUCCUAAUUUAAGAUUUCACGACAGCCAGGGUUUGGGUGAACCUUUAUGUAUAGUGAUGUAAUAGGAGGUGUGGUCAACAUUUUUCGGUGCACGUACACCUUCCCCCCCCCCCCAGUUUUUAUCCUAUGAAACCCUGACAGCAUGUGACGAAGGUUGAACAGAACGCCUACUACGGUUUUAAGUAUGUGGAGUUGCAUACUCUUCCUAAUGAAGUUGCUAGUACAGUGGUUUUCCUUUGCAAGAGCACUGCAACCACAAUGUAGUGAUUACCUCUGUCUGUGUGUUAUUUUAAUCCACCCACAUGCACCACCCACACAUCACAAAAUCACAGUAAAGUGAUGCAUCUUACAGACUAUCUAUACUGCAGACUUUCACACAACUUACAGAGUAUGUACUCUACUUGCACAGCAUUAUCAUUCCUCCUACUCAUUUAUGCUUGAUGCUCGAGGUCAACAAGCUGCUUCUGGGAAAUCCCCAUUUUGAGCAACACAAGUUCCUUUCAGAUUUGAUUCACUACAUAUGCAGCGGUAGUUAGACUCACACAUAGAUAGUAAAAGAUAGUAAAUACAGGCCCUCAGCUCCCUAUACAUGCAAGUUUGAGCUUAUAUCAUUCUACCACAAUGAAUCAAGCAACAAGUUAGCUGAGCUACGUACCAUCGCAAUCACUUCAGUUAGACGAAAUAUGAGGAGAGUUGACGCACUGUACAGCUGGAAAAUUUGGUGAUUAUUUGGCGAAUGCAAUACAAUACUAUAUACAGUGACGUUGUGUCCACCAGAACAUUUUAAUUUGGGAAUUUUUCAGUAAAUCGCCCAAUUAAAACACCCAUCAAAUUUCCUUAUUAUAAGGGGUUUACAUUUUACAGGCAAUUCCAAGUUAUGAUUCAGAUUGCUUUUGUUGCCUUGUUAAUACCAGGAGCCCAUAAAUAAGAGAAGGAGCGGCUAACUUCAACGUAUACUCUGGGAUCACGUGUCGUAAUUGCCGGUGGCCUACAUUAUGCAUGUAUGUACAUUAAAUUAGUACAGGACUAGAUAAUUAUUUGUUGAUAAAAAAUAAUGAAUGAAAUGAAAUU